UACGAAGGGGGCGAGCGUUGUUCGGAAUUACUGGGCGUAAAGGGCGCGUAGGCGGCGACUCUAGUCAGAUGUGAAAGUCCUGGGCUUAACCUGGGGACUGCAUUUGAUACUGGGUUGCUUGAAUUCGGGAGAGGAUAGCGGAAUUCCCAGUGUAGAGGUGAAAUUCGUAGAUAUUGGGAAGAACACCAGUGGCGAAGGCGACUUACUGGACGAUUGUUGACGCUGAGGUGCGAAAGCGUGGGGAGCAAACAGG
rnacentral:rRNA from 1 species